UCCUCCCCUCAGAACCCAGAGAGAAUUCAAAUCCCCACAAGCCCAAGCGACUUUGAGAAAUCCAAACAGAAACAGGGGACUGCUAAAUGAGUGCAGAGCGUAUUGCUCCAUCAAAAUCAAUCUGUUGCCAAAAUGUUCAGAGACUCGCUGUAAAAUCUCCUGUGCAGUUGCCAACUGGACAAGACACACCUAAGCUUAGCAGGCCCAAGCACAUUGUGUCGGAUUGUUUCUUAAGCCUCUCACUUGAUGCCUCUUCUUGGUUGAUGGCUCUGUCCAGUCCACGAGGUAGGUACAGGACAUUUUUCUCAGCAGUGUGCCUGCUGGAAGGCCUCUGAGUGGAAAACCUGCACUGAAGCUUUCAUGCUAGCCCCCUCCAAGGAGUUAUCCAGAUGCAUGUCUGGAAAGAAGCCAGGCAUGAGACUGCUUCACUUUGCUUCUCUUUGUUUUAGGAAUUUGAAGCCACAGCUGCUGUCAAAGGUUCUCUUGGUUUCAUUUGAGAAUUUACCUCAAUAGUAGUUUUGCUCACAUACUUUACUUUCCCCAGCUAUUUUGUUCUUUAGAAAGUUAUAGUUCUAUCAGUGAGUUUUGUUCUCUUCUUAACUGAGAAAGGAGGGGGCAGGUGACUAUGGGUUUUGCUAGGUGGUGCGCUGGUGUAUGACUACAUCAGUGGUCCAAAGCUUGCCCUGAGAGCAAGGGCCUGAAAGUUGUCUCUGUAAUGCAUAUAUCUCAUGGCUGAUGGAUCUUCUUGUGCUGAUCAUAUUUUUAGUAUCAGAGGUGAAAUUUUUCAGAAAACAUCAUUUCCCUUUCAGUUGAACUUGUACAGCUGUUGCAAACACUGCUGCAUGCUGGCAUCAAAAAAAUACCACAUUUUUCUUCUACAGUUUGAACGGGAAAUAAGUGUGGUUUCUGAGAUCCCACUUUGAAGUGGCAGUUGUUUAUAGAUGACUGAAUUUAAUAACUGUAAUUGUACGUGCAGUCCUACUCCAGCUGUGUACUGGGCACCAUGAGUCACUGUCCAAAAACAUCCCUUAGUUUCAAACCCUUCUUAGAAGAGACCACUCUCCAACACCCCUGAACGUCCUCUGCUCCAUUAUUGGGAAU
rnacentral:lncRNA from 1 species